AUAUUUACCUGGGAGGGGAGAUAUCAUGAUCACAAAGGUGGUUUUCCCAGAGCCAGGCUUAACUGGAUGUGUUGACCCCUAUGAUUUCCCCAAAUGUGAGAAAUUCAACUACAUACUUUGUAGUAGUGGAGGACUGUGUUCAUGUUCUCACCUGUU
rnacentral:snRNA from 1 species